rnacentral:rRNA from 1 species
UACGUAGGGUGCGAGCGUUAUCCGGAUUUACUGGGCGUAAAGCGUGUUCAGGCGGCUCAGCAAGUCGGGCAUGAAAUCUCUCGGCUCAACCGGGAGGGGCUGUCCGAAACUGCUGGGCUUGAGGGCAGUAGAGGGUGGUGGAAUUCCGGGUGUAGUGGUGAAAUGCGUAGAUAUCCGGAGGAACACCAGUGGCGAAAGCGGCCACCUGGACUGUACCUGACGCUCAAACACGAAAGCUAGGGGAGCGAACGGG